rnacentral:sRNA from 1 species
UUUUUUUUUCCUUUUUC